rnacentral:tRNA from 1 species
AAAGGAUAGCUGAGUGGUUAAGCAGUCUCUGAAGCCAGACUGCCUGGGUUCAAAUCCCAGUUCCAUUA